UACGGGGGGGGCAAGCGUUGUUCGGAAUUACUGGGCGUAAAGGGUUCGUAGGUGGCCCGCUAAGUCAGACGUGAAAUCCCUCAGCUCAACUGGGGAACUGCGUCUGAGACUGGUGGGCUUGAGUGCAGGAGAGGAACGCGGAAUUCCAGGUGUAGCGGUGAAAUGCGUAGAUAUCAGGAGGAACACCUGUGGUGUAGACGGCUUACUGGACCAUGACUGACGCUGAGGCACGAAAGCGUGGGGAGCAAACAGG
rnacentral:rRNA from 1 species